rnacentral:lncRNA from 1 species
GGACUCCACUUCGCCGGGGGGCAAGGGGUGCUUGUAAUUGCUUUCUGUCAAGCCAUACUAAUGGUAACCACUCUAGCAAGCAGCACUUCGAUCUCACCUUGCUUCCUUCUCUUUUAAUUUCAUGAUAAAGAUACCUGUGAUGCAUAACUUUUCUGGGCUCAGGCUUGCAAAAUGAGUGAUGGAUUGUAAAUGUAUUGGAAUCUAAAUUCUUUGGUGAACAGGUUGGGCCGGAGUAUGCAAGAUACUGUGGAAUUGAGGCUUUGGAACCUCUGGGAAUUUAUUUGCCAGGAGAUAUCAAUUACCCUGGGGGAAUCCUCUUCGAUCCCUUGAACCUCUCCAAAGACCCUGUAUCUUUUG